AACGAACGCUGGCGGCAGGCUUAACACAUGCAAGUCGAGGGGUAAAUAUAGCAAUAUAUGAGACCGGCAAACGGGUGCGGAACGCGUACGCAAUCUACCCUUGUCUGGGGCAUAGCCCGGAGAAAUCCGGAUUAACUCCCCAUAGGAUAGUAGUAAGGCAUCUUACAGCUAUUAAAAAUUUAUUGGACAAGGAUGAGCGUGCGUCCCAUUAGCUAGUUGGUAGGGUAACGGCCUACCAAGGCGACGAUGGGUAGCUGGUGUGAGAGCACGACCAGCCACACGGGCAGUGAGAAACGGGCCCGACUCCUACGGGAGGCAGCAGUAGGGAAUAUUGGACAAUGUGCGCAAGCCUGAUCCAGCCAUGCCGCGUGAAGGAUUAAGGUCCUCUGGAUUGUAAACUUCUUUUAUUUGGGACGAAAAAAGAUCAUUCUUGAUCACUUGACGGUACCAGAUGAAUAAGCACCGGCUAACUCCGUGCCAGCCGCCGCGGUAACAC
rnacentral:rRNA from 1 species